rnacentral:rRNA from 1 species
GACGAACCGUGCGAACGUUAUUCGGAAUCACUGGGCUUAAAGCGCGUGUAGGCGGGACGGCACGUCUGUCGCUGAAAUCCCCGGCUUAACCGGGGAACUGGCGGAGAUACGACCGUCCUGGAGGGGCGUAGGGGACCUGGAACUUCCGGUGGAGCGGUGAAAUGCGUUGAUAUCGGAAGGAACGCCGGCGGCGAAAGCGGCGUGCUGGACCCCGGCCUGACGCUGAUGCGCCGAAGCC